UUGCUUUCAUCAGCCUGAAGUGAUGAUUCACAUUCAUGUCUCUUCUCUGAUAAAUUCUUGAAGAAAAUUUUUGUGUGUCUGAUCAGGCCUCUAGAGGGCAG